UACAGAGGGUGCGAGCGUUAAUCGGAAUCACUGGGCUUAAAGGGUGCGUAGGCGGCCAUGUAAGUGGGGUGUGAAAUCCCUCGGCUCAACCGAGGAACUGCGCUCCAUACUGCAUGGCUUGAGGGAGACAGGGGUAAGCGGAACUGAUGGUGGAGCGGUGAAAUGCGUUGAUAUCAUCAGGAACACCGGUGGCGAAAGCGGCUUACUGGGUCUCUUCUGACGCUGAGGUACGAAAGCUAGGGGAGCGAACGGG
rnacentral:rRNA from 1 species